rnacentral:rRNA from 1 species
GUGAGGAAUAUUGGUCAAUGGGCGGGAGCCUGAACCAGCCAAGUCGCGUGAAGGAAGAAGGAUCUAUGGUUCGUAAACUUCUUUUGCAGGGGAAUAAAGUGCAGGACGUGUCCUGUUUUGUAUGUACCCUGAGAAUAAGGAUCGGCUAACUCCGUGCCAGCAGCCGCGGUAAUACGGAGGAUCCGAGCGUUAUCCGGAUUUAUUGGGUUUAAAGGGUGCGUAGGUGGUUUGAUAAGUCAGCGGUGAAAGUUUGCAGCUUAACUGUAAAAAUGCCGUUGAAACUGUCGGACUUGAGUGUAAAUGAGGUAGGCGGAAUGCGUGGUGUAGCGGUGAAAUGCAUAGAUAUCACGCAGAACUCCGAUUGCGAAGGCAGCUUACUAAGCUACAACUGACACUGAAGCACGAAAGCGUGGAGAUCAAACAGGAUUAGAAACCCCAGUAGUCC